AGCGAACGCUGGCGGCAGGCCUAACACAUGCAAGUCGAACGAACUCUUCGGAGUUAGUGGCGGACGGGUGAGUAACACGUGGGAACGUGCCUUUAGGUUCGGAAUAACUCUGGGAAACUUGUGCUAAUACCGAAUGUGCCCUUCGGGGGAAAGAUUUAUCGCCUUUAGAGCGGCCCGCGUCUGAUUAGCUAGCUGGUGAGGUAACGGCUCACCAAGGCGACGAUCAGUAGCUGGUCUGAGAGGAUGGCCAGCCACACUGGGACUGAGACACGGCCCAGACUCCUACGGGAGGCAGCAGUGGGGAAUCUUGCGCAAUGGGCGAAAGCCUGACGCAGCCAUGCCGCGUGAAUGAUGAAGGUCUUAGGAUUGUAAAAUUCUUUCACCGGGGACGAUAAUGACGGUACCCGGAGAAGAAGCCCCGGCUAACUUCGUGCCAGCCGCCGCAGUAA
rnacentral:rRNA from 1 species